UACGUAGGUGGCAAGCGUUGUCCGGAUUUACUGGGCGUAAAGAGCGCGCAGGCGGUCGUUCAAGUCGCGUGUGAAAGCCCCCGGCUCAACUGGGGAGGGUCACGCGAUACUGCUCGACUUGAAGGCAGGAGAGGGAAGUGGAAUUCCCGGUGUAGUGGUGAAAUGCGUAGAUAUCGGGAGGAACACCAGUGGCGAAGGCGACUUCCUGGCCUGUUCUUGACGCUGAGGCGCGAAAGCUAGGGUAGCAAACGGGG
rnacentral:rRNA from 1 species